rnacentral:lncRNA from 11 species
AUGUGUAAAGCCCUUGCCAGCCUCUCUUCCCAGAGAGAAAGAGUCUUGAGUUCGGAUCUGUCUGGAGCCCGCUUCCUUGCAGCCAUGAAGCUCCUGGUUGUGCUCUUGGCCUUGACUGCAGUCCCAGGAGGCCAAGCCGUGGCCAUCAGAGAAGCGCCCACUUCGGAGCCCAAGUUAAGACCGUUGAUCGAUAAAAUAUCCAUGUUCGGGAGGGAUGCCUACAUUGCCGUGGUGGAGACAUUCGAGAAAAUAUUAUUCUCUGCACCUAUCACAAUUGUCAACGCCCACCUGUUGAAAGCCUACGAAACCCUCCGGGAGCAAGAGAGAGAGCUUCUUCCGGAGAUCAGGGAAGCGAAGGAGAUCCUUGAUGCCGUCAUGACAAAGUUCUCUCGGGUUCAUCAUGAGUGGAACCUGAACCAAUACGAAUAUAACUUGGAAGGUGUCAAGGAGGCUCUGGCACAGUACGUCGACCCAGUGGCCUCCAAGGCGCUGAAGUACGUGGAGUGGCUGGAGGAGAACAUCAGACCAGUGGUGAUCGAAACGUACCGGCAGGCGUUCGAGAGACCCCGGGACCAGGUGCUGGAGUCCCUGAACAGCCAAGUGUCCUCUUACACCAAGGAGCCGCAAGCUAAAGAGCUAGAAGAAAUCGAGGAAAGCAUCCAGGCCUCAUUGGUCGAAGCAGGCAAGCAGCUCCGGCUGGGGAUGGAGACCCUCCACAAGCAGUUGAAGCCCUACCUGAUCCCGUUCCUCAAUGAGUACAAGAAGUACAAGCCAGCGCUCACAGAGUGGAUGGAAGCACCAUUUUUCCCCCCGCGGAAAAAAGACUGACAAAUCCUAGGCGAAAUGGUUCCCUCUGCAUCACGGAAUAAAUCUUCCCAAAUGAUGGUCUGUUUCGGUCUGCGUUAGUUUGACAAGAUCUUCUUAACCAGGGGUCCUCAAACUUUUUAAGCCGAGGGCCGGUCCACAAUCCUUCAGACUGUUGAGGGGCCGAAUUAUCAUUUGAAAAAAAAAAAUACAAACAAAUUCCGAUGCACACUGCACAUGGCUUAUUUGUAGUGCAAAAACAACAACAACAAUGAAAGAACAAUACAAUAUUUAAAAAUAAAAAUAAUUUUAACCAACAUACAUUUAUCAGGAUUUCAAUGGGAAGUGUGCUCCUGCUUCUGGCCAAUGAGAUAGUCAAGUUAAUUAGGGUUGUUGUUGUUGUUGUUGUUGUGGUGUGCCUUCAAGUCAUUUCAAACUUUGGCCGAGCCUAAGUCUAAAAUGUAUUUAUUUAUUUAUUAUUUAUUUACUGCAUUUAUUUACUACAUUUGUAUCACACCCUUCUCACCCCAAAGGGGACUCAGAGUGGCUUACAAAUAAUAUGUACAUACAAUAUAUUAUAUUAUUAGCAUAACACAAUAUUAGCAUUAUAUAUUACUUUAUUGAACUAUACCA